rnacentral:rRNA from 1 species
GCAAGUCGAGCGCAUCCUUCGGGAUGAGCGGCGGACGGGUUAGUAACGCGUGGGAACGUACCCUUUUCUACGGAAUAGCCUCGGGAAACUGAGAGUAAUACCGUAUACGCCCUUCGGGGGAAAGAUUUAUCGGAGAAGGAUCGGCCCGCGUUUGAUUAGGUAGUUGGUGGGGUAAUGGCCUACCAAGCCUACGAUCUAUAGCUGGUUUGAGAGGAUGAUC